GUUCUGGGUCCAGGUUUUUAUCAAACUUUUACCUUUUUAGAAGAUUUGCAGAACUACAUCGUUCUAACGCUGAGUCAGCAUUUUUUUCUGUUCAUUUUCGGCUCAGACUAAUUUCUGAACAGAAUGGAUCUCCUGUGAUCCACAUGAAUAUCAAACAAACACUUUCGGCUCUGUUGGGCUUUCUUCCUCCUCUUCCUCCUCUUCCUCCGGGAGCCGAUUGCUGCAGCAGGAGGUGGACUGAUGCCUCGAUGCUGCAGGAGAGCGUUUACCUUCACUGUGGCCUUGGGUUUGGAGCUUCGGCUGAUUUCAUCUCUUAUCACUGGAGCUGAAGAGUAUCUGUGCUGAACUGACCCGACGUCUCUGAAACACUUUAAACCUGAUUAAAACUUUAAUUUCAUCGUUAAAACGACACAAAUCCUGCAAAAUAAACCUUUUUAACAGUUA